rnacentral:rRNA from 1 species
CUGGCUCAGGAUGAACGCUAGCUACAGGCCUAACACAUGCAAGUCGAGGGGCAGCAGAUCGAAAGCUUGCUUUGAUGCUGGCGACCGGCGAAUGGGUGAGUCACGCGUGUCCAACCUGCCCUGUGCCCGGGGAUAGCCCUUGGAAAUGAGGAUUAACACCCGAUAGGUGGCGCUUCCGCAUGGCGGCGCCAUGAAACCGACACAGGAUGGGGACGCGUCGGAUUAGCUUGACGGCGGGGCGACGGCCCACCGUGGCGACGAUCCGCAGGGGUUCUGAGAGGAAGGUCCCCCACACUGGCACUGAGACACGGGCCAGACUCCUACGGGAGGCAGCAGUGAGGAAUAUUGGUCAAUGGCCGAGAGGCUGAACCAGCCAAGUAGCGUGCAGGACGACGGCCCUACGGGUUGUAAACUGCUUUUGCGGGAGGAUAAAGGACACUACGUGUAGUGUUUUGCAGGUAUCCCGUGAAUAAGGACCGGCUAAUUCCGUGCCAGCAGCUGC